rnacentral:rRNA from 1 species
CAUCUACCGCCUGUCAUAUAUAUGUGCUACAUCCACAUGUCAUGUCAGGAUGGCAUAGGUGCCUGCCUGUGUCAUUUGAUGUGGCUUAAUCAUUCCUUCUUACGGUGGCGCGCGCGUGUACCACACCGGCCGUCGUUCCGAACACGAGCAGGAGCAGUGAAACGAGUGCGAAACCUCGUCGCUGCAACGGCAACGUAGCGGCAACCGCCGCAGCCACGCCCAGCCGCACCACGACCUGGACUGCUCGCACCCCUCCCUCUCCGCGCGAACGUAAAGGUACCGCAACCUGCUGAAGGUACGGCGAGUACGGCCGAGGCCACGGUGCACCUAGCUCGACGAGGAUGCUCUGAGCGCGCCCCUAGAACGGUGCCGACGUGUACGACCAGUGAACACUAGAGACCGUGACCCUCGAACUCAUACACGUCGUAGACCAACUUUGUUCCGAAGACCAACCACUACGACAACAUCUACGUUAACCACGAUAACUCCUGUUCUCCCUUCUCGAACUCUCCGUCUCCUGACUUAGUUACCGUCCGUCUCCGUGUCGACCUUCCCAGUACCGACCUUCUCCAUCCCGACCUUCUGUAUUAAUACCGUCGAGAUCACUCUUAUUCAUACGAUGGUUCGUCGUUUAACGAUACGAAAAUCCCAAUCCGUCUCUCUAAAACUACGACGACUUCGACUACUAACCAAAACAAUAUCACGAAACACACUACACAAAGUGUAAUCAAUACUUCUUCACUUCACAACAAUUAAGUCAUCCACAUCCACACAUUUGACUCGUAUGAUUUUACCAACGAAAACAAACGAGUCAUUACGAAUCAACAUUACCAACAACAUUACCUAUUAUACAGUGAUUACACUUCGGAAGAACUGG